UGAUUCCGCUUUAGAGGAAUGGAUCGUCGAUCAGAUGCAUACUGUGAGACCUGUGGUGGAAACUGGCUAUGAGAAUCUUCUACUUGUUAGGCUGUUAUUGGAGACGAAGAUACCCUCUAUUCGAAAGUCUACAGUUGCUGAGGGGUUGACUGUUGAUGGGAUAUUGGAGAGCUGGGCAAAGAUUAAGCCUGUAAU